rnacentral:rRNA from 1 species
GAGUUUGAUCAUGGCUCAGGACGAACGCUGGCGGCGUGCCUAAUACAUGCAAGUAGAACGCUGAAGAGAGGAGCUUGCUCUUCUUGGAUGAGUUGCGAACGGGUGAGUAACGCGUAGGUAACCUGCCUUGUAGCGGGGGAUAACUAUUGGAAACGAUAGCUAAUACCGCAUAACAAUGGAUGACACAUGUCAUUUAUUUGAAAGGGGCAAUUGCUCCACUACAAGAUGGACCUGCGUUGUAUUAGCUAGUAGGUGAGGUAACGGCUCACCUAGGCGACGAUACAUAGCCGACCUGAGAGGGUGAUCGGCCACACUGGGACUGAGACACGGCCCAGACUCCUACGGGAGGCAGCAGUAGGGAAUCUUCGGCAAUGGGGGCAACCCUGACCGAGCAACGCCGCGUGAGUGAAGAAGGUUUUCGGAUCGUAAAGCUCUGUUGUAAGUCAAGAACGGGUGUGAGAGUGGAAAGUUCACACUGUGACGGUAGCUUACCAGAAAGGGACGGCUAACUACGUGCCAGCAGCCGCGGUAAUACGUAGGUCCCGAGCGUUGUCCGGAUUUAUUGGGCGUAAAGCGAGCGCAGGCGGUUUGAUAAGUCUGAAGUUAAAGGCUGUGGCUCAACCAUAGUUCGCUUUGGAAACUGUCAAACUUGAGUGCAGAAGGGGAGAGUGGAAUUCCAUGUGUAGCGGUGAAAUGCGUAGAUAUAUGGAGGAACACCGGUGGCGAAAGCGGCUCUCUGGUCUGUAACCGACGCUGAGGCUCGAAAGCGUGGGGAGCGAACAGGAUUAGAUACCCUGGUAGUCCACGCCGUAAACGAUGAGUGCUAGGUGUUGGAUCCUUUCCGGGAUUCAGUGCCGCAGCUAACGCAUUAAGCACUCCGCCUGGGGAGUACGACCGCAAGGUUGAAACUCAAAGGAAUUGACGGGGGCCCGCACAAGCGGUGGAGCAUGUGGUUUAAUUCGAAGCAACGCGAAGAACCUUACCAGGUCUUGACAUCCCGAUGCUAUUUCUAGAGAUAGAAAGUUACUUCGGUACAUCGGUGACAGGUGGUGCAUGGUUGUCGUCAGCUCGUGUCGUGAGAUGUUGGGUUAAGUCCCGCAACGAGCGCAACCCCUAUUGUUAGUUGCCAUCAUUCAGUUGGGCACUCUAGCGAGACUGCCGGUAAUAAACCGGAGGAAGGUGGGGAUGACGUCAAAUCAUCAUGCCCCUUAUGACCUGGGCUACACACGUGCUACAAUGGUUGGUACAACGAGUUGCGAGUCGGUGACGGCAAGCUAAUCUCUUAAAGCCAAUCUCAGUUCGGAUUGUAGGCUGCAACUCGCCUACAUGAAGUCGGAAUCGCUAGUAAUCGCGGAUCAGCACGCCGCGGUGAAUACGUUCCCGGGCCUUGCACACACCGCCCGUC